rnacentral:lncRNA from 1 species
CAGGACUUUGGCCUAAUGCUUCACCUUUAGUGCAGGCCAUCUGAGCCUUAGAACAAAUACCAAUCAUCACUCUUUGGGAAAAAAGAAUCUGCAUCGGCGUGGCCUAUUGGAAUGGGGUUUCUGUCAAGAUUGCAUUCUUACCCAAAUACUCUCCGUGAUUGCCUGCUUUGCGGCUUUGGGGCAGAGAUAUACAUGCUUUGGGGCCAAUGCUGUGACAGGGAACCUCUUGCAGCUAUGACUUCAACUCCAGCACAGAUGUUCCUGACAAAGACGUAUCUAAAGCACAUCCUGUAAUACAACAUAUGGGAACAGAAGUACAAUAAAGAUAGAAGAUAAGCACCAAGAGGGAGUGGCUGAGGGAUAAGGAAAAUGGAGUGGUCACUUGCAAAAUGAAGGCAGAAGUUGGAGUUGAGGGGGAGCAAGGAGAAAGAUUUUUCUAUAAGAGCCACCCCACACAGUGGCAGGGAGCAUGAUCUUGAUGGCAUAUUUGAGGAAUUAUGCAUUCCGUCUCCUUUUUUCACACUAAACUUUCACCUGGCCUUGUGAUCCCAUUAUUUUCGCUGGCAUUGCUCUAGUCCCAGGGUGAUCCAAGGCCUUGUAAGUUCAUAGAGUGCUAUUACAAUUGACAGUAUGGAUUCCGGAGUUGAGCUAGGAUGAGCUCUGGACUCGGCCUCACCAAUUGAUAUCUACCCAACUUUAGGAGAGUUGUUUGUUCUCUAUGAGUUUUGGUUUCCUCAUCUGUAAGAUAAUGAUAAUGAAAGAGCCUAAUAUAUGUAUGUGUGUAUAUAUUAAUUGGCUUUGUGUGUAAAUGUGUUUCCUUUGUGUCACUUUUGAAACACAUACUGACUUUUUUUUUUUAAUUGUUUGUGAGUGCUGAAUUAGCCCAUUAUUUAUUUAUUCAAUAGGUUCAAUUAUUGGAGUGGGGCUUUAUAGAUGACACAAUGGCUGCAACAUAAGCAAUGAAUAUUGGGGACACCUACUUUCCUCCUUUCUUCACUCAGACCUCUGAAAAAUGUUGUAUCUUAAGUAGAUUGGUCUCUUACAGUGAGUUACAGGGAGCACAUUUUUAUAACAUUUCUGGCUUCCACUUUGAAGUCCCCUGAAUCCCCAUUUUGUGGACCUCCCAGUGGUAAUGGUGGACUCUAAGAGCUGAGGGGCUCAGUCCUGUAGCCACAAAACCUGUAUCAGAAUAGAACUGCUCCAGAGAGAGGCUUAGUGCAGCCUUGACUUCAAGAUCAAGAAUUGUCUGCUUGAGAAGCAAAUGGCUCCACAUGGAGUUCUAGGAAUUGUACUGACUCCUUUCAAUAAAACAGAAGUGUGUGUGUGUGUGUGUGUGUGUGUGUGUGUGUGUGUUAAGAUCUGGCCAGCUUCUUUUCAGAAAAGACAAGAAAUACCAUAGUUUGGUUCUCAAUAAAAAUAACAAAACGUAUAUUAAUGUAUGACUUUGGGCUUAAAAAUUAAGUAUUUCUUAAAGACUUACUUGGUGCCUGGCAGCAUAGCCUGCUCCUGACAGACCUUACGACCACAAGAAGAGAUAGAUGUGCCAGAUGAGUACAUAUUACAUAGCCAAACAUCAUUCAUGGAGGAGAGCCCUAAAAACAACUUUAUUUUUGUCCCCACUUUCCAUUUUGAAUCUGUUCAAUGAGGAAACUUUUUCUCUACCGUUG